rnacentral:sRNA from 1 species
GAAGACUCAAAAUAUUGGACCUAUGUGCAAGAGGUUGCUCAUACACAAUGAAGAUGCCAUGGAGUUGAGAGUUACAUGGGAAGAAGCUCAGGACUUGCUUUGUCCAGCGCCUAGUAUCAAGUCCAAUAUUGUAACAGUUGAGGACCAAGAAUUUGAGGAAUAUGAGGAACCCCCGGUCUUUGGGAAGAGAACUACAAUAAAUGCUCGUUCAUCUGGGUCUUUGAGCUUUGCAUCAGAGGAAAUGAGUCCAAAGGAAUUAGAUAAUAUUCCAGUUAUCAGAAAAGGAGUUUUGGAAGAUGAUGUUGCUG